UGCUGUGAUGAGGUCAAAGGUCUAUUGCUUUGUCUUCACUGACUUUGCACUGGUGGAGAUAGAGUCUUACGCCUUACAAUUUGGAGCCAUUCGUCGCGUCUGGCUAUUCUGCAACUCUUUCUUUUCAAACUUCUAGCUUUUCAGGAAAUUGUAUGCAGCCAGGGUGCUUUAGUGUGAGCUAAAUGACAAAUUGAGGGUUGUAAUUGGCUCAGACGGUGUCCUUUUGUAUGAGUGGUGGGUAGUUAUUGGGCAAACGACUGAAAAUUGAAUUUGAAUUAAUGGAGAAGAGCUGAAUCACGUAUCUUCUUGCAAAGGGCACGUUUGAAUCUCAUCAAUGUGCCCUCUUCCCUACAUUUAGCUGCACUACUGAAUGACUUCCAUCGCCUUUUGAAGACAGCUAAAGCUUGAAAGGCAAGAAAAUUUGGUUGAUGGACGAAAAAUACCAACUUGCUUAUAGCAAUAGCGAUAAUUAAGGCUGGUAAAGAAUUUUAGGUGGAUUUUUGGAUCAAUGUAAAUGUAGUUUGAUCUAUUUUAUGCACUUGAUCCAAGCACGUGCAAAGGCAAACGUCAGAAAACAAGAAAUGGAUAGCUUAAUUGAAUUUACCACUUCUAUACAGGUGUAUACAUAUAUACAUUGCGUGUGCUAGUUUGUUGCUCU